GCCUCGAAAAGUAAGAUGGAGAGCGACUGAGGAAAGUGCCCAGUGCUAACCUCUGAGCUUUUACCUAUAAGCACACACAUACAUGCACACACAAGCACACACCUGUGCGCACGCACACACAUGGACACAGACCUGGAGUAGCUUAGGCACAUCAGAGGUUUCACUGUCCCCAGAAGCAUGAAAACAUGGCAGACGGAACGUAAAUGGACAAAAGGAGACUAAAGCUGAAGAGAAGAGAUUACAGAACUCGAAGCUACCAUAUACUGAGUUACAGAAGAGUGGCCAGCUCUGUCACCUUGACACUACCUGGAGUCACCUUGACACUACCCGGAAUCACCUAGGAAGAGUCUCAGGGAGAGACUGUCUACAGUGGGUUGACGUGCUUGAUGUAACCAGCCACCUCCUGCUCCAGCUUCCAUGCCUUUGCCGCCAUGAUGGGCCACGCCCUUAACCUCGAGCAAAAACUAAGCCUUCCUUCCACUGCUUUUUGUGAGGUAUUUGAUCACGGCAAUGAAAAGAGAAACCGAUACAGCAUUUUCUUCACUCGCAAACAGAAAGGGCAUCGUGGAUAUAGAGACACCUCUCAUCAAAUGACCCGUUAACGCCAUGCCAGGCAAAUGAGAGGUGGCCGGCAACGGCAACAGGCAAAACCUCAAAGAGAAAACCGGAGGUCCAACCGUGGGAAGCUAAGCCUUGUGACUACCUGCUCAGCACAGGUUCGAACAUUGCUUCCAGACUUUUAAGUUCUGCAUCUCUGAGGAGGUUAACUAAUCCCUCAGGGCCCCUGUCUCCUCCUCUGUGAAAUGGGGUUAGCUAUGCCAGCUUUCAGGUUAGGGGGCCAGCAAGGACAUCUGUGGCACCUGAGUCCUGAACUCCUAGCCCAGGUCCGACUGACAAGAUAGCAGCCUCCUGAAUCCAUCCCCUUCCUAUCUGCAGGGAAAGCUGACUCUCCAGUGGAAAUCGGCUUGCCUGGGGUCAGACCAGGCCCCAGGGUUCCGGUUUAUGACACUGGCCACCGCUUAAGACUGCAGCCCACUGCAGUUUCAUUCUCAUGAAUCAGUUAGCGUGUGGGGAAGUGAGGUGCGUUUAAAUACAGUCUCUCCCAGCAUCUGUCGGUCUUGUCCCUAGAUCAAGGUCAAAGCCAUGCAUAGAAAAGACAGGGGAUGCCCUCUCUGUUCCUCUCUUCCUCCCUUCUACCCACCCUUUCUCUCCCACGAUGCUCAAUACAGCUCAGUUCCCUUCUGCUGGGACAGUGGGGAGUGUGAUGAUUCGAAUAGAAUGAGCCCCUUCCUGGGAAAGAGUUGGGCAGGAUGGUCUUCACUCCUCCAUGCCCAGAGCCUGGCCCCCUGCCUUUACUCUAAGGGACAACAAUGGCUUCUCUUGUACCCUGCACAGGUGGCUGACCUGCCCAGCAUAGACACCACCUGCCACCCUCUCCCCUGCCCGUGAGGGACACUCAGCCAAGAGACCCAGCCUCACAGGGGCUCAGGGUGGCAGAUGUGAACUAUGUCCCAGUUCAGAUCUCUUGGGCCUACCUCUUGCCACCGUGGACCACAUGACAUGGGAUGCCCUCAGAGUUACGAUGUGCGCAUAUGCGCGCGCGCGCACGCACACACACACACACACACACACACACACACACACACACACACACACACAUGCAUUCUCUACUCUAGGAUGGCACAGGUGCAGGGAGCGGGUGACUGAGGAAGCCUUUGGACAGAGGCAGAUGGAAGCCGGUGGGGAGCCACUUCCCAUCUUCCUAGCAAUCUGGAGAGACGUGUUCCUUGCUUCUUAUAAGUCCUCCAGGACCCAGCGACCAAUCACCCACAGCAGGGACCCUUCCACAACAAAACUCAUUACCCUCCUAAACCACUGUGGCUUAAAGAAAAAAGAAAAAGAAAACAAGUCCAAGACGCAUCUAAGUCUUCUCCGUGCUGUGAGUCUGAAUUGGGAGAGAGAUUCUUACCCGGUGGCUGCAGGACAGGGACCCGCUGGGGUGGGGGUGACUGCAGGCUAGACUGGAACACCUCAUCCCAAAAUCAGUGCCCUUGCAGGUUGGGAGCAGCACAGGCAGGCUCUCAGCAGGAGGCCCCGGGUCCUCUCUUGAGUGACUUUCUCACAAGCCCCGCCCCCAGCUUGCUUCCAUUACUCUGUGCGCGCUGGCAGAGCCCUCUGAUCCCUGCCUUAGAAUUACAACACAACAUCACAGGCUGCCAACGCUGGAGAGAACCUUCAACCUCAGCUAUCCAUAAAUAGGUACUCUGCAUACCCACUAUCUCUCUGUUGUCUGGUGCCCUGUGCAGGCAUCACCAGUAGAUCACAGAUCGACACCCUUUUCCUGGUGCCCUGUACAGGCAUUACCAGUAGAUCACAA
rnacentral:lncRNA from 1 species